rnacentral:rRNA from 1 species
GACGAACGCUGGCGGCGUGCCUAACACAUGCAAGUCGAACGGAAAGGCCCUGCUUUUGUGCGGUGCUCGAGGGGCCAACGGGUGAUUAACACGUUACUAACCUGCCCUUGACUUUGGUAUAAGUUCAGGAAGCUGGAGCUAAUACCGGAUAGGAGCUCCUGCUGCAUGGUGGGCGUGGGUAAGUUUCGGCGGUUGGGGAUGGACUCGCCGCUUAUAAGCUUGUUGGUGGGGUAGUGGCUUACCAAGGCCUUGCAGGGUAGCCGAGCUGCGCGGGUGAGCGGCCACACUGGGACUGAGAUACGGCCCAGACUCGUACGGGAGGCAACGGUGGGGAAUAUUACACAAUGGGCGGAAGGCUGGUGCAGCACCGCCGCGCGGGGGAUGACGGCAUUCGGGUUGUAAAGCGAUUUCGCCUGUGACGAAGCGUGAGUGACGGUAAUGGGUAAAGAAGCACCGGCUAACUACGUG